rnacentral:rRNA from 1 species
GACGAACGCUGGCGGCAGGCUUAACACAUGCAAGUCGAACGAGAACGGGGCCUUCGGGCCCUUAGUAAAGUGGCGCACGGGUGAGUAACGCGUAGGCAAUCUGCCCUCAUGGCGGGGAAUAACCACGGGAAACCGUGGCUAAUACCACAUAACGUCGGGACGUCGCAUGGCGACCCGAUCAAAGGCUUCGGCCACCUGAGGAUGAGCCUGCGUUGGAUUAGCUAGUUGGCGGGGUAAUGGCCCACCAAGGCAACGAUCUAUAGCGGGUCUGAGAGGAUGAUCCGCCACACUGGCACUGAGACACGGGCCAGACUCCUACGGGAGGCAGCAGUGAGGAAUAUUGCGCAAUGGACGAAAGUCUGACGCAGCCAUGCCGCGUGCAGGAAGACACCCCUCAGGGGCGUAAACUGCUUUUGUACAAGAAGAACACCCCGUUCGGCGGGGUCUGACGGUACUGUACGAAUAAGGACCGGCUAACUCCGUGCCAGCAGCCGCGGUAAUACGGAGGGUCCAAGCGUUGUCCGGAAUCACUGGGUGUAAAGGGUGCGCAGGCGGGCAUGUAAGUCAGGGGUGAAAGCCACCGGCCUAACCGGUGAACUGCCCUUGAUACUGCAUGUCUUGAGUUCUGGAGAGGCUAUCGGAAUUCGUGGUGUAGCGGUGAAAUGCGUAAAUAUCACGAGGAACACCUGAUGCGUAGGCGGAUAGCUGGACAGAUACUGACGCUGAGGCACGAAAGCGUGGGGAGCGAACAGG